rnacentral:rRNA from 1 species
CGACGCAGCUAACGCAUUAAGUGCCCCGCCUGGGGAGUACGAUCGCAAGAUUAAAACUCAAAGGAAUUGACGGGGCCCCGCACAAGCAGCGGAGCAUGCGGCUUAAUUCGACGCAACGCGAAGAACCUUACCAAGGCUUGACAUAUACAGGAAUAUGGCAGAGAUGUCAUAGCCGCAAGGUCUGUAUACAGGUGGUGCAUGGUUGUCGUCAGCUCGUGUCGUGAGAUGUUGGGUUAAGUCCCGCAACGAGCGCAACCCUCGUUCUGUGUUGCCAGCAUUUAGUUGGGGACUCACAGGAGACUGCCGGGGUUAACUCGGAGGAAGGUGGGGAUGACGUCAAAUCAUCAUGCCCCUUAUGUCUUGGGCUGCACGCAUGCUACAAUGGCUGGUACAAACGGCUGCGAUACCGCAAGGUGGAGCGAAUCCGAUAAAGCCAGUCUCAGUUCGGAUUGGGGUCUGCAACUCGACCCCAUGAAGUCGGAGUUGCUAGUAAUCGUAGAUCAGCAACGCUACGGUGAAUACGUUCCCGGGGCUUGUACACACCGCCCGUCACGUCACGAAAGUCGGUAACACCCGAAGUCAGUGGCCCAACCGCAA